UACGUAGGGUGCAAGCGUUGUCCGGAAUUAUUGGGCGUAAAGAGCUCGUAGGCGGUUUGUCGCGUCGAAUGUGAAAACCUGAGGCUCAACCUCAGGCCUGCAGUCGAUACGGGCGGACUUGAGUACUGCAGGGGAGACUGGAAUUCCUGGUGUAGCGGUGAAAUGACGCAGAUAUCAGGAGGAACACCGGUGGCGAAGGCGGGUCUCUGGGCAGUAACUGACGCUGAGGAGCGAAAGCGUGGGGAGCGAACAGG
rnacentral:rRNA from 1 species